GCAUCCGUAGCUCAAUUGGAUAGAGCAUCUGACUACGGAUCAGAAGGUUUCAGGUUCAACUCCUGACGGAUGCGCCA
rnacentral:tRNA from 2 species